rnacentral:rRNA from 1 species
UACGGAGGAUGCGAGCGUUAUCCGGAUUUAUUGGGUUUAAAGGGUGCGUAGGCGGGCUUUUGAGUCAGCGGUAAAAAUUCGGGGCUCAACCCCGUCCGGCCGUUGAAACUGGGGGCCUUGAGUGGGCGAGAAGAAGGCGGAAUGCGUGGUGUAGCGGUGAAAUGCAUAGAUAUCACGCAGAACCCCGAUUGCGAAGGCAGCCUUCCGGCGCCCUACUGACGCUGAGGCACGAAAGUGCGGGGAUCGAACAGG